UCCCCUCCCUAGGCUUAGGUCUCGGCGGC
rnacentral:sRNA from 1 species